CCGGUGGGUGUGUAUUUCAAAUGGAGGAAUCGGUCAGACGCGAAAGGUCACCUAGGAAGCUGUGCACCUGAAUAGAAUUAGCAAAAUUUACUCGGGUUCGUGUAAAUCCGACUCCAUUCAGAAGGUUUGAUCAGUGUGCACAACUGAUCUGGAUCGAACUCCACUUUGUAACGGCACUUUUCUUUUUUUAAUUACGAGAAGAAGGGUGAAGACAGAAGCUUAUAGUGGUUGGAGACUUGAAGAAACGAAAACAAAAUAAGCCAAAACUUUAAAAGAGGACGGAGCUUUUUUUUUUUCUUUCUUCAUCCUCGUAUGGAAGACGUAGUGAACGUGAUGUGUACAGAGAAGCGUGUCAUAUUGCACCCCGAGAAAGGAAGAGACUAAGGGCGGAAUGAAGAGGGGGGCUCGACGUCUCUUCAAGACGUUUCUUGUCGGCGCUGAUGUUAUUCGGUUAAUCUUUUCCUCUCUGUCGAACGAUGAACGCCACGUGUAUCUCGUUUCAAACUUACCCUCCCUUUUUUUUUUUCUUUUCUGUGUCUCCAGUCUGUCCAUCUAGUGAGGCGGGAAAUUCGAAAUACUAUACACUCAAUCUAGCGCGGAGAUAAAACUUCGCGUUCCUCCCCAUUUCUUCCUUAGUUUAACGGAUGGACUAUGCCGGACUGUCUCCGAAUAAUCCACUGAAUCAUUGAUAGCAUAAAUUUAUAUAAGACCCCGUUGACGUCUUGGAACACCUUGAAGCAUUGAGGGGAGAACUCUGUCGUUCGUGUCCGCUCGGUGAGAAAGUGACUUUAAUACGGUUUCUAUUUCCAAGUCAAGAAAGAAGAGGAAGACAACAAGAAGACCACCGUGGGAUACUUGCGAAGAAAACGUGUAAGCAAGGCCCGCGGCGGAGCUUAGAAAAGAUUGAACGGACGUGAAUGGAACCCCCUUCAAGAUUAUAUAGGCGGCCGUUCUGCGUUCGAUUAUCAACCAGCGGUACUGAUUACCAUACGAGUUUUUUUCGAAACGUAUCGCGGGAAAAAAUCUUUUCUCCUUCAAUCUUUGGAGGGUUAAGGAAAUGAAAAAAAGGAGAAAGAAUUAUCAUCAUCAUCUUUUUUUUUCUUCUUGUUGUAUACACGACUCUUCGACCCUAUGUGCUCUGGAUACUUGCCGAGAAUCUUCUCGCAUGAUGCAUGAAGAUGUCCGACCCGUCGAUCUAUCCGCUCAUCGUUCAUGUACGUUCACCCCCGACCGGCUCUUUUACACCCCCAUCAAAGGAAGGAGCGCAGCAGCCGCGCUGAGCGGUGACCACCUGGAACCUCUUCGGUCUUUCUAAAGAAUAAAACGCGCUACACAUUUUUUUUUUGUUCCAUGAUGGGAAUAUCGUUUUCAUUUCUUUCUACCCUUCGCAACAGAGGACACUAAAAAGAACUAUGUUACUGCCGUGUAACAUGUACAGGACAAAAAAUGAAGGAUUAGGGCGACAUUUGAAUGAUUCUAAACGGUCGACUGAAAUGUUCUGGCGGAGGUUUGAAAAAUCCACCACACGUCACGACUGUGAAAAAGAUUACAGCGUUGCUCGUCCGUGUUGAUAAAUGCCUACAUUCAUCCAUCACUUGGCUAGCAGCCGAGAAAAGACAACGAACGUACGACAGCCAAGAAUAAGAAAAAACAUAUAUACGAAAAAAAAAGAAGAAAUUGAGAGCAGUUUCGAAACAUCUCGUAUAGAAAUUCAACAAUGAACGCUUUCCUCAUCAUCGAGUCAAAGCGGUACCUUCAAAAGUGUGUGAGAUGUUGACGCCGCCAUGAUUGAAGGCACCCCGUUCUGAAAGGCCAUCAUUAUAAACUCAGCACAACUCUUCAUAAAGAAGAUGCCCAUUAAGCUCUUAAUUUAAAUAAUGUAUUGCUUAACAAGCCGCAAAAA